CACACCUAUACAAUACCCAUGCUGUCCGAUCAGCAUCUUACCACACCUGUGAGGUGGAUGGAUUAUCUCGGCAAAGGAGAAGUGCUCACUAACACAGAUUUUGACAGAUUUGUGAACAAGAUUUUGAGAGAAAUUGGCCUUACGUGUACAGCUCAUGAUGAAUGGGGUCAAAAACAAAAGUGUUGCGUUUAUAAUUUUGUUCAGUGUAUAAACAGGAUUUUCUGACAUCUGGAUAGUUAACAAGUCAGCAAAAAGAUUAAACCUGAAUGUCUUUUCACCUUUCAUUUCAUGUUCCAGUACUGAAAUAUACUUAGGAAACAGCUGUGAAAGCAAGAACAUACAUCUAUUUUAUGAGUUGUUUUAUUCUUAGGUACAAUUUAUUCCUGGUUGAUUGGUAUUUGAGAGUUUAGGGGAUUUUUUUAACAGGAAACCACUGAGGAAAAUCACACCCUCACCCCAUAAACUGUAACUCUCCAGCAGCUCUGACGGACAUCACGUAGAUUCAAACUUUCCAGGCAUUAGUUGGUGUCGUAUCAGUAUUUGUGUGUGUUUGAUCUGUGACCCGUUUCCUUUUGGGAAAGGGCUGUGCUUUCCUGGCUGUGAAUUGUGUUUCUCGUUUCCACUGAUGUCUGGGUCAUUUCAUUUACUGUACUUCCGCCCGGAGAGCCGACGGGCACCAACGCAGAGUCACGCAUAAAGGACAUACAGACACAAACACAGAGUCACACCCUGAUUCCAUCGCACUUCAACACAACCCUCAACACACAUGCAGAGAUGAGACCGACGAGCAGGGCAGGGUGCAGAUAUGAAAACAUAUGAGGUGACAAGAUAAACGCAGACGUUCAGCCACUGAGGGAAGUGUAAUAAAACUUAAUUUUAGGAUUAAAAGUAUCUAAGAAAUAUGGGGAUAGCUACAAUCUCAUAACCCUGUUGCAGUAUUUUUAUUUCAAAUUCUGUAGAUUAACAUUAGGUUUUCCCUUUUCUUACCUGCGAGCCAGAAACUCACUAGUAUCAGCAUGUAGUUUUCCUCAGUUCCUCAAAAAUUACCCAUUUUCUGUUUUCAGAUGCUGUGCUUGUCCACAUCAGUGUUGUGAUAACCUGGAUUGAUGCACCCUGAGAAAAGACGACAUUGUCUUGGACUGAAGGAAUUGCUUAAAUUUGCAUAAAAUGUCAUGCAAGACGUCAACUGUGAACUGUUAAUUAAAGGCAAAAUACCCAUAAAUGUAUCUUUACAAUA